rnacentral:rRNA from 1 species
UACGUAGGGUGCGAGCGUUAAUCGGAAUUACUGGGCGUAAAGUGUGCGCAGGCGGCCGAGCAAGUCGAGUGUGAAAGCCCCGAGCUUAACUUGGGAACUGCGCUCGAAACUACUUGGCUGGAGUGUGGCAGAGGAAGGUGGAAUUCCACGUGUAGCGGUGAAAUGCGUAGAGAUGUGGAGGAACACCGAUGGCGAAGGCGGCAUCCUGGACCGACACUGACGCUGAGGAGCGAAAGCCAGGGGAGCAAACGGG